AAUAGAUACCCCGGUAGUCCACGCCGUAAACGUUGGAUACUAGGUGUGGCGGUCUACCAACGACUGCAGUGCCGAAGCUAACGCAUUAAGUAUCCCGCCUGGGGAGUACGGCCGCAAGGCUAAAACUCAAAGGAAUUGACGGGUCCCCGCACAAGCGGCGGAGCAUGCGGCUUAAUUCGAUGCAACCCGAAGAACCUUACCUGGGUUUGACAUCAUGGGAAAAGCCGUAGAAAUACGGUGUCCGAAAGGGCCCAUGACAGGUGGUGCAUGGCUGUCGUCAGCUCGUGUCGUGAGAUGUUGGGUUAAGUCCCGCAACGAGCGCAACCCUUGUCCUAUGUUGCCAGCGGUUCGGCCGGGGACUCAUAGGAGACUGCCGGGGAUAACUCGGAGGAAGGUGAGGACGACGUCAAGUCAUCAUGCCCCUUAUAUCCAGGGCUGCACGCAUGCUACAAUGGCCGGUACAACGGGAAGCGACCCGCGAGGUGAGCGAAUCCCUUAAAGCCGGUCCCAGUUCGGAUUGAAGUCUGCAACUCGACUUCA
rnacentral:rRNA from 1 species